rnacentral:rRNA from 1 species
GAUGAACGCUGGCGGCGUGCCUAAUACAUGCAAGUCGAGCGAACUGAUUAGGAGCUUGCUUCUAUGACGUUAGCGGCGGACGGGUGAGUAACACGUGGGCAACCUGCCUGUAAGACUGGGAUAACUUCGGGAAACCGAAGCUAAUACCGGAUAGGAUCUUCUCCUUCAUGGGAGAUGAUUGAAAGAUGGUUUCGGCUAUCACUUACAGAUGGGCCGGCGGUGCAUUAGCUAGUUGGUGAGGUAACGGCUCACCAAGGCAACGAUGCAUAGCCGACCUGAGAGGGUGAUCGGCCACACUGGGACUGAGACACGGCCCAGACUCCUACGGGAGGCAGCAGUAGGGAAUCUUCCGCAAUGGACGAAAGUCUGACGGAGCAACGCCGCGUGAGUGAUGAAGGCUUUCGGGUCGUAAAACUCUGUUGUUAGGGAAGAACAAGUACGAGAGUAACUGCUCGUACCUUGACGGUACCUAACCAGAAAGCCACGGCUAACUACGUGCCAGCCGCCGCGGUAACAC